UAUCCAGACUCCUACGGGAGGCAGCAGUGGGGGAUAUUGCACAAUGGGGGGAACCCUGAUGCAGCGACGCCGCGUGGGUGAAGAAGCGCCUCGGCGCGUAAAGCCCUGUCAGCAGGGAAGAAAAUGACGGUACCUGAAGAAGAAGCCCCGGCUAACUACGUGCCAGCAGCCGCGGUAAUACGUAGGGGGCAAGCGUUAUCCGGAUUCACUGGGUGUAAAGGGAGCGUAGACGGCGACGCAAGUCAGAUGUGAAAACCAUGGGCUCAACCUGUGGCCUGCAUUUGAAACUGUUUUUCUUGAGUACUGGAGAGGCAGACGGAAUUCCUAGUGUAGCGGUGAAAUGCGUAGAUAUUAGGAGGAACACCAGUGGCGAAGGCGGUCUGCUGGACAGCAACUGACGCUGAGGCGCGAAAGCGUGGGGAGCAAACAGGAUUAGAUACCCCAGUA
rnacentral:rRNA from 1 species